UAGAGAAAGUGACUUCAGUUAAGCAUGGCUGUUUUUCCUAUCACUGUUAGCUGCUCACUUGUGAAGCAGUUGCAGCUCAAAGAUAUUUCAGUAACUCGCCCAAGUUUAUAGAGCUAUGAAAAUCACGUGGUCAAGACUAACUAUAAUCUAGGACUGUUUGACUGCAAAACAGAUCUUCCUAUUUCUUAAUUGGUACCUUUAAAGAAAGCCCUUUUCUUCUUAAAUAUAAUCUCAUUUACAAGAGAAAA